rnacentral:misc_RNA from 1 species
GUCCAAUCCCUCAUGAAGAACCUCUCAGUUUUCGAGCGAGCCCUCAUUGGAGCUGGAGGUGGCGGCAUAGCUGGUGCAUUUACUUACGUGUGUCUGCACCCGCUUGAUACCAUCAAAACGAAAUUGCAGACAAAGGGUGCAUCUCAGCUUUAUAGCAGCACACUUGAUGCUGUAGUCAAGACAUUUCAAGAGAAGGGCAUUAUGGGGUUCUAUAGCGGCGUAUCUGCGGUGAUUGUGGGUUCUACAGCCUCUUCAGCUGUGUAUUUUGGGACUUGCGAGUUUGGGAAAUCGAUUUUGUCCAAAUUGGAGAAGUUUCCAUCUGUGCUUAUCCCUCCUACUGCCGGUGCCAUGGGGAAUAUCGUGUCAUCAGCCAUUAUGGUACCCAAAGAAUUGAUAACGCAGCGAAUGCAAGCUGGUGCUAAGGGAAGAUCAUGGGAAGUAUUGUUGAAAAUAUUGGAGAAAGAUGGUAUCGCGGGUCUUUAUGCAGGGUAUUCUGCUACUUUGUUAAGAAAUUUACCUGCUGGUGUGUUGAGUUAUUCUUCAUUCGAGUAUUUAAAGGCUGCAGUAUUGAACAAGACUAAGAAGAGUCAUUUGGAGCCUAUUGAAAGUGUUUGCUGUGGGGCAUUGGCUGGGGCAAUCUCGGCAUCAAUGACGACACCGCUUGAUGUAGUUAAGACAAGGUUGAUGACACAGGUAAAUAAGGAGGUGGUGGAUAAGGUCGCUGCUGUAAUGUAUAGAGGGGUUUCUUCUACUGUGAAACAGAUUAUGAAGCAGGAAGGGUGGGUUGGAUUUACCAGGGGAAUGGGCCCUAGAGUGGUUCAUAGUGCAUGUUUUUCAGCGUUGGGGUACUUUGCAUUUGAGACCGCUAGGCUUACCAUUUUGCAUCAGUAUUUGAAGCACAAAGGGUUUGGUGAAAUGGAUGUUGCUCCUUCUUGAUUGAUGGCUAUGAAUGGAGUAUCAGGCAAUGACUACCGGC